rnacentral:lncRNA from 1 species
GCCACCUCAGAGCCGGCCAGGUAGAAGAUGAUCUCAUAGUUCUUCAACACAUCCACCAGGCGGCCUGGGGAGGAGGAGGAAGAGGAGGGAGAGAUGUAAAACCUCAUGUGGAUUCUGCCAUUUGAAACCUUAAAAAUGUCACUUGCUGUCCCUGGACCUCAAUUGCUUAAGUGAUAUGUGGCUUCUGGUCAUUCUCCUCACCCCAUGCACCUCCUCUGCCCAUCAGAUCCAUCCAGAUUCACACAAGAAAUGGAAGACGGUUCCUUGAGGCCUGGGCAGGCUGGUUUUGUGGCCUGCCCACACACUGGCUCAGGGACUUUGCCGUUCUCACUGGGUCAGGUGGGAUGACAGAGCUCAGUGAGGGCACUCGAUUAGCCCAGCCCUGAAGGAAGGACGAGCAGCUCACCCCAUCUCAGUGCAGCCUGCGGCCCCCGCAAGGUGUCCUCCCUGGUUACUGCACCAUCUCACAGCCCUCUAGCCUCUGGGACUCAAAGGCAGGCUCCCUUGCUGUUUCAAGAUAACUUGACAACCCAGGAAAACCCUCAUGUCCCCCACUCCCACCUUUCCAAUUUUGGUUCCUGCCUUGCUUGCAUAAGGACGCUGUUCCCCCCCAACAAGCCCUGCCCAUCCAUGCUGUGCCUUCACCUGGGGGAUAUUCCAGGAAGCCUUCCCUGACCACCCUCAUGACGAUGACUUCCUAAGGGUGACGGUGACAAGUGCCAGCAGGCCAUCUGCACAGUGAAAGACACCAGUGCUUCUCCCCAUCUGCCCGCUGAGCACCCCCACUCUGUUUCUGGCCCCAACACCAGUUUCCCAAAGAUACUGUCCCCAUUCCAGUCACCAUUCUAGAUGCACCAUUCUAAAGGCGUGGGCAUUUAGCAGCAGGUACACUGAGGCUCUCAUUCUGGGGCUGCAACUUGCGCUAAGGCUUUGUGCCUCAGUUUCCUCAUCUGCAAAAUGAGAAUAAGCACCUGCGCUCCAGAUGGCCUUGUGCCAACUGCUUGGGAUGGCAGAUCUGGCCAGCUACCAGUGUUGCUUUCUUCCCUGCACCUUCCUGGGCUUUUCUGUCCUCACCCAGAGCGGGCGGUCCGGCUUGGAGGAGGGACUAACUGGCCGUGAAGGGGAGUCCACCCACCCGACUGCCCCUUCCCCUCAUCCCUGGAAGUUCCAUCUGAGACAGGGGGAUGGAGCUUCCCUGGG